GGAGAGUUGUCCGAGAUGGCCGAAGGAGCACGAUUGGAAAUCGUGUGGGCAUUUAAAAAGUGUCUCAAGGGUUCGAAUCCCUUACUCUCCG
rnacentral:tRNA from 1 species